rnacentral:rRNA from 1 species
UACGUAGGGUGCAAGCGUUGUCCGGAAUUAUUGGGCGUAAAGAGCUCGUAGGCGGUUUGUCACGUCGGAUGUGAAACCCUGAGGCUCAACCUCAGGCCUGCAUUCGAUACGGGCAGACUAGAAUUCGGCAGGGGAGACUGGAAUUCCUGGUGUAGCGGUGAGAUGCGCAGAUAUCAGGAGGAACACCGGUGGCGAAGGCGGGUCUCUGGGCCGAAACUGACGCUGAGGAGCGAAAGCGUGGGGAGCGAACAGG